CGCACAUGCCCUCCUUGGGCGUUUCCUCCCUAGACUUGGGCCGUCCUUCAGUGGACGGCCCUUUUUUUUGCGCAGU
rnacentral:sRNA from 1 species